rnacentral:rRNA from 1 species
AUUGAACGCUGGCGGCAUGCCUUACACAUGCAAGUCGAACGGUAACAGAUCUUCGGAUGCUGACGAGUGGCGAACGGGUGAGUAAUACAUCGGAACGUGCCCAGACGUGGGGGAUAACGAGGCGAAAGCUUUGCUAAUACCGCAUACGAUCUAAGGAUGAAAGCAGGGGACCGCAAGGCCUUGUGCGUUUGGAGCGGCCGAUGGCAGAUUAGGUAGUUGGUGGGAUAAAAGCUUACCAAGCCGACGAUCUGUAGCUGGUCUGAGAGGACGACCAGCCACACUGGGACUGAGACACGGCCCAGACUCCUACGGGAGGCAGCAGUGGGGAAUUUUGGACAAUGGGCGAAAGCCUGAUCCAGCAAUGCCGCGUGCAGGAUGAAGGCCUUCGGGUUGUAAACUGCUUUUGUACGGAACGAAAAGGCUCUGGCUAAUACCUGGGGCACAUGACGGUACCGUAAGAAUAAGCACCGGCUAACUACGUG